rnacentral:lncRNA from 1 species
CAGCAAUCCCCACCCUCUCCUGACAUCCAUUCUGCAGACAUAAAACUAUAAAACAAAACCUUCUGGAACAAAACAUGAGGGAAAUAAUGGAUCCAGGUUAAGCAAUCAGCUAUGAGCAAGAUACCUUUGAGAAGUGUAAAGAAAAACCAGACUCUCCACUACUAAAUGGAAUUCCUUAGAAAACAUCUAGGUCCACUAUCCAGAAUGGAGGACGAUCCUGUUGGCUGACUUAACUUUCCUGAAGAAGAAUGGGAACAUGGGAAUAAAGGGCUCAAGAGAAUAAUGUCUCUGGACUUUAAUAGGAAAUAUGCAGUUGAGUGACCUUCCUCUGGCCAUAGUUCAAAGUACCACCAAAUUGGACGCUAUUUUCCUGCGUACUGUUUUCAUUUUUUAAUCCAGAUGGGCAGGCACUGUGGUCUUGAGGAAACAGUUCUUCAUUCUAGAUUUCUGCCAAAUUGGAGCUGAACCAGCAGCUUGAAAUUUGCAUCAUCUCUAUCAGUCUUCUCUGACACCUUCCUCAGAAACUUUUGGAAUCAUUGCCUCUAACUCACGUCCUAUAUUUUGGCUGGAACUUCAUUUUAGAAAAGACCAUCGCCUCUCAUGAACACCAGACUUUGUUCUUUCUGUGUGUGGCUUUUUUACAUUUCCUGGCUGAACAACCUAUGCUUGACAGGAAGACUUCAUCUUCCCUCCAGCUAAGUUAAAUCAUUAGAGCAAUGUCAAAUUUAGAAGCCUCCAUUUCUUACCAUUUUUAAAAGAUGUAUUUGUUUUAACUGUUCUGACU